GUUUGUUGUGCUCUCCUAUUCAUCAGACAAACAGCGUCAUUCGUUUUUAGUUAUCAAACAAGACAUUAAUCAUGUACGCCUCGCAAAUAUUCAUGGAAAUAAUCCGACUUAAAAAUCAUCAGAUAUGCUUGGUCACAAAAAUCAAUCAAACGUGAAUUGUUGAGGAAAUUUGAUAAUAAGUUGGAUAAAAUAUGAUGGAAAUAUGUUUAUUUAACUUAUUAUUGAUUUGGAAAUGGCCAUUGAGGAUUUGGUUACACGGGGACUUACUAAAUAGGCUUGAAAAAACAAAAGACAUCAAUCUCUCUUACCAGAAUUUAGUUAUGGGAUAUACAAAACAAGUCGAAAGAUCUUUAUUUUAUUGUACAAGGUCACUUGGAACAGAAAUUUAAUUCAGUAAUAACAUAAUUGGAAGAAACUGACUGAAUACAAUCACUAGCUUUGCAAAAUUACAAAAAACAUCAAUCUUUCACCAGGAUUUGUACCAGAAAUUCAGUUUAGACAAAAAAUAUACAACAGUAGUUAUAUUGGAAUCACUUUUAUAUUGGAAUUAAACUUCAGCUAUUCAGCUUUAGGAUAUUUUGUUUUAGCACUCAGAAAUCCUUUCAAGAAUUAAAAAAUGCAGCAAAAGUAAAAAAUUGCAGCAAAAAGUCAAAGUGACAUCAUUCAUAACAACAAUUUGGAAGUGUAAAAAAUAAUAUAUCUUACUUCGACAACAAAAAUUUAUUCCAGACUAAAAAAUAUCAGAAGACAUCAGUCUCUUACCACAAUUUGUACCAGAAAUUAUGUUUAGACGUGAAAUAGAUACAACAGUAAAUUAUAUUGGAAGUGAAACAAAUAAGAUAUUUUGCUUCAACAAUCAGAAAUCCAUUCAAGAAUUAAAAAAUGAAGCUGAAGCAAAUAAUUGUAGCAAAAAUUCAAUAUCACAUUAAUUAUAAUAACAAUUUGGAAGCGUAACAAAUGAAAUAUCUUGCUUCGACACACAAAAAUUCAUUCCAGACUCAAUAAAUAUCAGAAGACAUCAGUUUCUUACCAAAAUUUUUACCAGAAAUUCACUUCAGACAAAAAAUAUAAACAACAGUAAUUAUAUUAAUAGAAUGGAAAAGAAACAGAUAUAAUAUUCUGCUUCAACACUCUGAAACAAAAAUAGUAGCAGCAAUUAAAUUCAGACAAAGCAUAUAUACAAUAGUAAUACCAGAAUUUGUAGCAGAACUUAAAUUCCAAGUUACAUAAACACCAAUUAGAAAACUGGAAAGCCUUAAAAACAAUUACUAGAAUUUCUAACAGAAAAUCAAUUAUAAUAACAGACUGGAAGUGAAAUAAACAAAAUAUCUUGCUUCGGCACACAAAAAUUCAUUCUAGGCUUUAAUAACAAUACUAGUCUGAACACCAGAACAACCAUUACCAGAAUUUGUACCAGAAAUUAAAUUCAGACAAGGUGUGUAAACAACAGUAAUUACAAAUCUAACGAAAUGAAACAACUAGCUUUGCAAAAUUUGCUUUUUCAUUUCUGGCUUAAAAAAUAACAAAGACAAUCAGUAGUCUCUUUCAAUGAUUAACAGAAUUUGUACCAGAAAUUCAGUUUAGACGAAGAACAUAUACAACAGUAAUAGAUUGGAAGAGAAACAAAUACACUUCAAAACAAAUUUGCGUCAAAACCCGGAAAUCCAUUUCAGAAUAAAAAAAAUUACAAAAAUCAUCAAGAUCUUGUUCCAGACAUUCAAUUCAAGCAGAACAUACAUAUGACAUUAAUUAUAAUAACAAUCUGGAAGUGUAACAAAUAAAAUACAUAUCUUGCUUCGAUAUACAAAAAUUCAUCCUAGGCUUAAAAAACUACAAAGACUAAUGAGGUUAUUUCAACUGAUAAUAGAAUUUGUAGCGGAAAUUUAAUUUGAACAAGGAGUAUUUUUGAGAAUUUGCUUGAACUAUACAAAAAUUUAUUCCAGACUUAAAAAAUAAGAAAAGACACCAGAAUUUGUACCAGAAAUUCACUUUAGACAAAAAUAUAUACAACGGUAUCUAUAUUAUAAAUAGAUUGGAAGAGAAACAAAUACAAUAACUUGCUUUGGUGCAUGAAAAUUCCUUACAAGGCUUAAAAAAUCAGUCUCUUACAACAAUUACCAGAAUUUGUAGCAGAAAUGAAAUUAAGACAAAAAAUGUGAACAACAAAGUUAUAACAAAACUGGAAAUGGAACUAAUUACAUAAAACAUCUUGCUUUGCAAAAUUUGCUUGAGGAGUACAAAAUUUUAUUCCAGGCUUAAAAAAUAACAAAGACAAUCAGUAGUCUCUUUCAAUGAUUGUACCAGAAAUUCUGUUUAGACAAAAUAUAUAUACAACAGCAGUUAUAUUAAUAGACUGGACGAAAAACAAAUAAAAUAUCUUGCUUCAGCACUCACUAAUCCAAAAAAAUUACAAAUUGCAAAUCAUCAAGAUCUUGUAUCAGAAAUUCAAUUCAGGCAAAGCUUACAUAUGAUAUUAAUUAUAUUAACAAUCUGGAAGUAGAACAAAUAAAAUAUUUUGCUUCGGCGUAUGAAAAUCAAUUCCAGGCUUAAGAAAUCAGUCUCUCAAGACAAUAACCAGAAUUUGUAGCAGAAAUUAAAUUCAAGAAAAAAAUGGAACAAAUAAAAGAUCUUUUUGAGACAUAUGGAAAUUUAUUUGGGGGUUAAAAAAUAACAACAGGUUUAACCAGAAGAUUCAAUACAAAAUUCCAUUAUAUUUUCAGAAACAUCAGAAUAAAAAACUUGUUAUCUCUGGAUAAUAUAAUACUAAAUCCACCACCAAUGGCAUCAUCAAAAUUCAAUGUCUAAUUAUCUUUAAGAUGAUGAGGAGGAAUGAUUAUUAUUCAUUAUGGUGGCUCUGGCACCAUGGACCUGUCUUCAAGCAGACUUCUAUUUAUUAUUAUUAUGAUGAGGAGCUUCUGCAUCUCUUAUGUGUUGCCGAGUUCAUUCAUUAUGGUGGCUCUGGCACCAUGGACCUGUCUUCAAGCAGACUUCUAUUUAUUAUUAUUAGCAACUCUUAUGUGUUGCCGAGUAUUUUAUCAUAUCAUUUGAGAACACAACAAACCAGGCAGGAGUAUGCAAGUGCGCAAUAUUUAAUGGAAAACAACACACCAGGGACAAUGGAAGCAGAUUUUUCAAGAGAAAUGUAAAUAGAAAGU